rnacentral:rRNA from 1 species
CCUACGGGAGGCAGCAGUAGGGAAUAUUGCUCAAUGGGGGAAACCCUGAAGCAGCAACGCCGCGUGGAGGAUGAAUGUUUUAGGAUUGUAAACUCCUUUUGUUAGAGAAGAUUAUGACGGUAUCUAACGAAUCAUCUACGUCGAACUCCGUGCCAGCAGCCGUGGUAACACGGAGGGUGCAAGCGUUACUCGGAAACACUGGGCGUAAAGGGUGCGUAGGUGGGUUAAUAAGUCAGAUGUGAAAUCCUGUAGCUUAACUAGAAAAGUGCAUUUGAAACUGGUACUCUGGAGUGUGGGAGAGGUAGGUGGAAUUCUUGGUGUAGGGGUAAAAUCCGUAGAGAUCAAGAAGAAUACUCAUUGCGAAGGCGACCUGCUGGAACAUUACUGACGCUGAUGCACGAAAGCGUGGGGAGCAAACAGGAUUAGAUACCCUGGUAGUC